GACGAACGCUGGCGGCGUGCUUAACACAUGCAAGUCGAACGGAAAGGCCCUGCUUUUGUGGGGUGCUCGAGUGGCGAACGGGUGAGUAACACGUGAGUAACCUGCCCUUGACUUUGGGAUAACUUCAGGAAACUGGGGCUAAUACCGGAUAGGAGCUCCUGCUGCAUGGUGAGGGUUGGAAAGUUUCGGCGGUUGGGGAUGGACUCGCGGCUUAUCAGCUUGUUGGUGGGGUAGUGGCUUACCAAGGCUUUGACGGGUAGCCGGCCUGAGAGGGUGACCGGCCACAUUGGGACUGAGAUACGGCCCAGACUCCUACGGGAGGCAGCAGUGGGGAAUAUUGCACAAUGGGCGGAAGCCUGAUGCAGCAACGCCGCGUGCGGGAUGACGGCCUUCGGGUUGUAGACCGCUUUCGCCUGUGACGAAGCGUGAGUGACGGUAAUGGGUAAAGAAGCACCGGCUAACUACGUG
rnacentral:rRNA from 1 species